rnacentral:rRNA from 1 species
AUGCAGCCCCGGAACAACAGGGACGUGGCCAACUGCGUGGAGUGCUACGCCAAUGAGCACAAGGUCACGGAGGAGGUCGCCUUUGCUGACAUCGACUCGAUGAUAGAAGAUGAGUGGAAGACCACCAACAAAGCCUGAUUCAAACAUAGUCGUCAGCUGCUGCCUGUGGUGCAACGGGUCAUCCAACACAUUAACUCUCAGUGGGUGUACUACGGUGAUAGGAAAGAUGCCUUCACCUUCAGCUCGCAUCUUGAAGACAUCAUCGAGAGCCUCUUUGUCAAUUCCAUUCCCAUCUACUCCCUCCGUUCCUAA